rnacentral:rRNA from 1 species
CCUACGGGCGGCAGCAGUGAGGAAUAUUGGUCAAUGGACGAGAGUCUGAACCAGCCAAGUCGCGUGAAGGAUGACUGCCCUAUGGGUUGUAAACUUCUUUUAUAUGGGAAUAAAACGUUCCACGUGUGGGAUUUUGUAUGUACCAUAUGAAUAAGGAUCGGCUAACUCCGUGCCAGCAGCCGCGGUAAUACGGAGGAUCCGAGCGUUAUCCGGAUUUAUUGGGUUUAAAGGGAGCGUAGGUGGAUUGUUAAGUCAGUUGUGAAAGUUUGCGGCUCAACCGUAAAAUUGCAGUUGAAACUGGCAGUCUUGAGUACAGUAGAGGUGGGCGGAAUUCGUGGUGUAGCGGUGAAAUGCUUAGAUAUCACGAAGAACUCCGAUUGCGAAGGCAGUUCACUGGACUGCAACUGACACUGAGGCGCGAAAGUGUGGGUAUCAAACAGGAUUAGAUACCCCUGUAGUC